UUACGGCCAUAUCAUGUUAAAACACCAGUUCUCAUUCAAUCACCAAAGUUAAGCAAUGCCGAUCCUGGUCAGUAACUAGAUGAGUGACCACUUGGGAAUAUCAGGGGCUAU